rnacentral:sRNA from 13 species
AAUGACAGAGUAAUCCUUGAUGCUUCGGCAGUCCGAAAGAAGCGCCCUCGGGCGACUGCAAAUCCUCAUGGCCUGAAAGAGCUAGCCUUUCUGGUGGCCCCGCGUAUAGCCUUUGAAAUCGGAAAUCAUCCAACGGUGAUCAAAGUAUUUU